GGACUGAGAUACGGCCCAGACUCCUACGGGAGGCAGCAGUGGGGAAUAUUGCACAAUGGGCGGAAGCCUGAUGCAGCAACGCCGCGUGCGGGAUGACGGCCUCGGUUGUAACCGACUUUCGCCUGUGACGAAGCGUGAGUGACGGUAAUGGGUAAAGAAGCACCGGCUAACUACGUGCCAGCAGCCGCGGUGAUACGUAGGGUGCGAGCGUUGUCCGGAUUUAUUGGGCGUAAAGGGCUCGUAGGUGGUUGAUCGCGUCGGAAGUGAAAUCUUGGGGCUUAACCCUGAGCGUGCUUUCGAUACGGGUUGACUUGAGGAAGGUAGGGAGAAUGGAAUUCCUGGUGGAGCGGUGGAAUGCGCAGAUAUCAGGAGGAACACCAGUGGCGAAGGCGGUUCUCGUGGACCUUUCCUGUACGCUGAGGAGCGAAAGCGUGGGAGCGAACAGGCUUAGAUACCCGUGGUAGUCCACGCUGUAAACGGUGGGUACUAGGGUGUGGGGUCCAGUUCCACGGUAUCCGUGCCGUAGCUAACGCAUUAAGCACUCCGUCCGG
rnacentral:rRNA from 1 species